rnacentral:rRNA from 1 species
GACGAACGCUGGCGGCGUGCUUAACACAUGCAAGUCGAACGGAAAGGCCCUGCUUUUGUGGGGUGCUCGAGUGGCGAACGGGUGAGUAACACGUGAGUAACCUGCCCUUGACUUUGGGAUAACUUCAGGAAACUGGGGCUAAUACCGGAUAGGAGCUCCUGCUGCAUGGUGGGGGUUGGAAAGUUUCGGCGGUUGGGGAUGGACUCGCGGCUUAUCAGCUUGUUGGUGGGGUAGUGGCUUACCAAGGCUUUGGCGGGUAGCCGGCCUGAGAGGGUGACCGGCCACAUGGGGACUGCGAUACGGCCCAGACUCCUACGGGAGGCAGCAGUGGGGAAUAUUGCACAAUGGGCGGAAGCCUGAUGCAGCAACGCCGCGUGCGGGAUGACGGCCUUCGGGUUGUAAACCGCUUUCGCCUGUGACGAAGCGUGAGUGACGGUAAUGGGUAAAGAAGCACCGGCUAACUACGUG